AUACGGAGGGGGCAAGCGUUAAUAGGAAUUACUGGGCGUAAAGGGCGCGUAGGCGGUCUAUCAAGUCAGUUGUGAAAUCCCACGGCUCAACCGUGGAGGUGCAUCUGAAACUGAUAGACUUGAGUAUGGGAGAGGAAAGUGGAAUUCCCGGUGUAGAGGUGAAAUUCGUAGAUAUCGGGAGGAACACCAGUGGCGAAGGCGACUUUCUGGACCAAUACUGACGCUGAGGCGCGAAAGCGUGGGGAGCAAACAGGAUUAGAUACCCCAGUAGUCC
rnacentral:rRNA from 1 species